rnacentral:lncRNA from 1 species
UGGGAGAGACAUCAGGGUAGGGGCAAUGUGCAACGACUGCGACCGGUGGCCCCUUGUUUAACAGGCUCCGUGGGAAGUUGACCUGAAAUAGACUACAAUCCUUGAAAUUUCCAUGUAGAAUAAUAACCAUAGAUUGGAUGCAUUUUCUUCGUUCUAUUUGAUCACCUGUAUCGUUGUUGACCCACUUGAUGGCAGAGCAAUAUCCUAACAAGACAAACGCUUUUUGCGCGCGCAGAAAUUCAUUGUGGGGAUGCUGACCAAUUUUGGCAGCAUGGCGCUGGAUAGAAUCCACAAUACUCUCAAGGUAAGUGCCC